CCCAUAAACACACAAAUACAGCCGAAAAGCUGAAAUCUCCAUGAACCUCUGAUGUUCAGUGAGAAGUUACAGUUUCAGGAUGUUUCUUGUUUGUUGUUUUCUCUGAACGGAAACUGUUUCGACCGCAGGAACAGACGCCUUUGCUCAAUCAGCACUGAAACAAACCCAAAAUCUACACGUGCAUGUGUGUUAUAUAGGAAUUACCAAGAACUGAGACUUUAUUUCUUUAAGUUAGAGUAAUGAAGAGAUGAAAGCGAGCAGCCAUGUUGUUAAACAUUAACUCCAUCUUCACCUCAUUCACCCUUUCUUGCAGAUAUGAGUACUUUUUUUUUAUUUUUUACAGUUUAUAGUGUUAAAUUAUUAUUUAACGCGUUGUAUUGUGGUGUAUAGUUGUAGGUUUUGGUUUGUAGCUGUGUGUUUAAUGGAGGUUUAGUGAAGUGAAGAGCAGAAGUUCGGUUUUGACUCACCGGAGCGAAUUUCCGCCGCUGAGAUCCCGUUAAAAACCCUCCAACAUCAGCCUCUCAUCUCAGCCUGUGAUUUCUCAUUAGAUUCUCAUUGUAUCCGAUGAUUCAGUGCAGUUGAGUCACGAUUCAUUCACGAGAUCUCCGGUGUAACGACAGACCGGCUCUGUGUGAUAUCGCCAUACUGGAGAGAAAGAACAUAAUACAGGGUUGGAGCAACAUGAGGGUAUUUUUGGGUGAACUCUUCCUCUACGUGUGUAAUGCAUGAUGUCAGAGCAUUAGGAUCUAGAGGACACCAACCACAGAUUGAAAACAGUGAAACCACAAUCUUUCUCCAGAGAGCUGUGCGUUAUUCAGAAGAACUGCAGGCUGAGUAAUGUCCCCAGAGGAGUUACAGCUGAUGAGCAGCGAGUUUAUUUCUGUCUGUCCGUGACAUCUUAGAAGGCCAGGAACUCUGGGAGUGUUAAACCUGUACAGAAUGUGAUCAUGUGGCAGAGAUAAACACACUUUCCCAGAUGAGUUGAACAUUAACUCUCCCACUGCCCAUAAACGGGUGAUUUCCAAGGCUUUGGUGCAGUAAAAACAGACGCUCUUGUGCAGAAAGGGCUUUAGCUUCACAAAUGAAGCUGGAGAUGCAAACAUGUUAUAGUUGAAGUGCUUCAGUACAAAUACAGUACUACUACAAACAAAUAAACAGUGGUGUACAUUAUUAUAAUGAUAGAUUAUCAGGCAACAGCUGUGAAUUAGUUUGUAAUGUACUGAUUGUGAUCCUAAAUGUUCAGUUUUGUCCGCCAUACAGAGCUAAUUAACUUGAAAUAGUCUAAUAUGCACAGCCAAAGACUUUAAUUUACUUGUUGAUAGCCAGUAAAUUUUACUAGAUUGCUAAUCUAACUAGUUUCCUCAUUUUUAAAGAAAGGAGUCUGAACUGGUACUUAAUGCACUUACAUUUAAAUGCAAAAUUUUUA